UACGGAGGAUGCGAGCGUUAUCCGGAUUUAUUGGGUUUAACGGGUGCGUAGGCGGACGCUUAAGUCAGCGGUAAAAUUGCGGGGCUCAACCUCGUCGAGCCGUUGAAACUGGGUGCCUUGAGUGGGCGAGAAGUACGCGGAAUGCGUGGUGUAGCGGUGAAAUGCUUAGAUAUCACGAAGAACUCCGAUUGCGAAGGCAGCCUGCUGGACUGUAACUGACGCUGAUGCUCGAAAGUGUGGGUAUCAAACAGG
rnacentral:rRNA from 1 species